AGCGAACGCUGGCGGCAGGCCUAACACAUGCAAGUCGAACGGAUCCUUCGGGAUUAGUGGCGGACGGGUGAGUAACACGUGGGAACGUGCCCUUUGGUUCGGAACAACUCAGGGAAACUUGAGCUAAUACCGGAUGUGCCCUUCGGGGGAAAGAUUUAUCGCCAUUGGAGCGGCCCGCGUCUGAUUAGCUAGUUGGUGAGGUAACGGCCCACCAAGGCGACGAUCAGUAGCUGGUCUGAGAGGAUGAUCAGCCACACUGGGACUGAGACACGGCCCAGACUACUACGGGAGGCAGCAGUGGGGAAUCUUGCGCAAUGGGCGAAAGCCUGACGCAGCCAUGCCGCGUGAAUGAUGAAGGUCUUAGGAUUGUAAAAUUCUUUCAGCGGGGACGAUAAUGACGGUACCCGCAGAAGAAGCUCCGGCUAACUUCGUG
rnacentral:rRNA from 1 species